rnacentral:tRNA from 1 species
CAUUAGAAAACUUAAAUGUAAGUAAAAGCCUCUUAAGCUUCAAAUUAAUGAAUUAACAAUCAUUUCUAAUGA